GAUGAACGCUAGUGGCAGGCCUAAUACAUGCAAGUCGAACGGUGUCUUCGGACAUAGUGGCGCACGGGUGCGUAACACGUAUGCAACCUACCUUACAUUGGGGGAUAGCCUUCCGAAAGGGAGAUUAAUACCGCAUAAGACAGUAGCUGGGCAUCCAGCAGCUGUUAAAGAUUUAUCGAUGUAAGCUGGGCAUGCGUCCAAUUAGCUAGUUGGUGAGGUAACGGCUCACCAAGGCAAUGAUUGGUAGGGGAACUGAGAGGUCAAUCCCCCACACUGGCACUGAGAUACGGGCCAGACUCCUACGGGAGGCAGCAGUAGGGAAUAUUGGGCAAUGGACGCAAGUCUGACCCAGCCAUGCCGCGUGCAGGAUGAAGGCGUUAUGCGUUGUAAACUGCUUUUAUACAGGAAGAAACGACUCUUGCGAGAGGCAUUGACGGUACUGUAUGAAUAAGCACUGGCUAACUCCGUGCCAGCCGCCGCGGUAACAC
rnacentral:rRNA from 1 species